AACGAACGCUGGCGGCAUGCCUAACACAUGCAAGUCGAACGAGACCUUCGGAACUGGUUGCUCACGGGUGCGUAACGCGUCGGAACCUUCACUUAUGCUUGGAAUAACACUUCGAAGGGGGUGCUAAUACAGGAUAACUUAUUCGAAUCAAAGAUUUAUCGUAUUUGUAUGGGCAGGCGUUGGACUAGCUUGUUGGGAUGGUAAAAGCCUAUGACGGAGACGCUACAUAGCUGGUCAGAGAGGAUGGACAGCGACACUGGGAGUGUGACACGGCCGAGAGUACUACGGGAGGCAGGAGUGGGGAAUAUUGGACUAUGGGCGAAAGCCUGAUCCAGCUAUGCCGCGAGAGUGAUGAAGUUGUUAGAGUUGUAAAGCUCUUUUACCCGGGAUGAUAAUGACGGUACCGGGAGAAUAAGCUCCGGCUAACUCCGUG
rnacentral:rRNA from 1 species